GUGGCCCCAAACUCAAGGAAACUGAGGCUCUGCAUGUCUAAGCAGCUUUGCCUGCAGAGAGUCUUCUCGCAGGUGACAGAGCCAAGAUUCCAACAGAUCUCCCUCCCAAGUCUCUGGGUGUUGUUUCUGGGGCUUUUGCACCACAGAUUCUAGAUAGCAAAGCACACCAAGAACUUUGCUGGAAGAUAUUAAACCAUGACUCCAAGCCUGUAACUAUAAUAACUGUGAUAAGAAUGUUCUCUCACAUCACAGCUCACUCAUUACAGGGGAACUAUAGAUGCUCCCUCUCUUCAGAUGACAAUAUGGGGCCUGGAGUGUUAGGGCGGUGUCUAAAACCUAAGGUGGCUGUGCUGGGACCUGCUCCAUGACUGCUGGCCCCCAGAUCUGGACUCUCUUAAUCACUGUAUCACACACACUUACUUCAGUUAAACAAAGCUAUUUAUUUAUAUUGAGGUGCAUUUAAAAAGCAUACAAUUUAUAGUAUUAAGGUGUACUACCAGGAGCUUCUAGUACACUUGUGAUGUUGUGCAGCUGCCAUGUCAGACAUUCCCACAGCCUCAAGAGGAAGCCUCUGCCGGGUUCCCCAUCACUCCCACCUCCCCUCCUCCAGACCCCCACAAUCCCUGAUGGCUUUCUGGCUCUAGAGGUUUGUCUCUUCUGGACAUUUUGUGUAAGUGGAAUCACAUCCUAGGGGGUCUCCUGUGUCUGGAUUCUUCCCUCUGAUGUUUACGAGGCUCAUCAUGUUGGAGCAGGUCCCUUUAAUGCUGAAGGAUAUUUCACCACUGGACGGGCCACAUUUUGUGUAUCCAUUCAUCAGUGGGUGUUUGGGCUUUUUGGCUAUUGUGAAUAAUGUUGCUCUGAAUUUUGGUGGUGAACUUUGUUUUUCUUUAUUUAGGGCUCAUGUUCAGGAGUGGAUCUGUCGGCCACUGGAUCACACACUCUCUUUUACUUUUCCUUCCUUUUACUUCAAAAUAUGAAGCUCCCGUGUUGGACGAAUUCUAUUCCUGAAAUUUUAGUCCAAAUAGUAUUACGCAAACUUCCUUACUGCCGAGUUCCCAAUGCUGGGAACACUGGCUAAAUCUGAAUAAAUAUAUUUUGAAUAAAUGAACGGAAAAUAUUUAUUGAGGCAACUCUCUCUCUCUCUCUUUUUUUUUUUGAGAUGGAGGGAGGUCUCAUCAUGUUACCCAGGCUGGCUUUAAGCCCCUGCUUCUCCAUAACUAGGACUACUGGUGCACACUACUACACUCAGCUCCAGCAACGGACAAGACACCAAUGGUGUCAGUCAUGAAGCUGUGUCUUCUUUAUUAUCACCUUUNCCCAGCCACAAGCAGAGGCUGCCUUCAGUGU
rnacentral:lncRNA from 1 species